CUCCAGCGAGGUCUAAAACCAAAAAGUGUGCAGUGUUUUGUUCAGAGAAUGAAAGCCGCCUUGAGGAUGCUGCUGCGGAGCCGUCCAUGUUGGAACACUGAAUUGGUAGCAGACGAUAGAACACAUAAAUGACCAUCUGGGAAAUGUAAUACAAAAGGCUGUGCACUUAUACGAGGAAAUAAUUGUUCAAUAUUAAUCUUGUUUUAUUUACUACUUUGCUGUCGCUAGUCUCCGCGCACGCUAAUUAUAAGCCAGACAAAUAGCCAAGUGGCCAAGUCACCAGAAGUUUCUCAAGAUACGUUCACUUUAAAUGGGUAAACGAAGAAAAGCGAACUUAAGAAUACGACAUUUAACGUCUCACUAGAACGCAACAACGACAACAUUUGUGCGCGUUGUGUUCUGGCUGUUCAACGGUGUCGCACAAAGCGGAACUGUUGUAGGUCGAGGCUGCGCCGUCCGUCCAUCCACCGGUGUCACACAGGUCACGUGACCAGCAGAGGAGGAGAAUCGCGCUGGGGGAGGAGGCAACCAAUACGAGGCCGUGCUGGGUGCGAGGAGGAGAGGCGAUGGGUAUAAGAGAAGGUGUUUCUGUGUGGCGCGCCCUUUCGGUGUUACACCGUGCAAUCAUUUCACUGAACCAAUGUGCGGACCUCCAUUCAUCCGUCUGUCACACACGGAAGUAAACAAGCAAAAAUUGCCGCCAAGAUCUUUUGUGGUGACUUCAUACUGCUUUCAUUACGACACAGUUGCAGUGCUUUUAUUGGAAAUAGAUUUUUACGAAUUUCAAGAA